rfam:Pteropus alecto contig13026, whole genome shotgun sequence.
GGUUCCAUAGUGUAGCGGUUAGCACGUCUGCUUUACACGCAGAAGGUCCUGGGUUCACAUCCCAGUGCAGCUA